CCUCAAAUCAGGUAGGACUACCCGCUGAACUUAAGCAUAUCAAUAAGCGGAGGAAAAGAAACUAACAAGGAUUCCCCUAGUAACUGCGAGUGAAGCAGGAAAAGCUCAAAUUUAAAAUCUGGCGGUCUCUGGCCGUCCGAGUUGUAAUCUAGAGAAGUGCUAUCCGCGCCGGACCGUGUACAAGUCUCCUGGAACGGAGCGUCAUAGAGGGUGAGAAUCCCGUCUUUGACACGGACUACCGGGGCUUUGUGAUGUGCUCUCAUAGAGUCGAGUUGUUUGGGAAUGCAGCUCUAAAUGGGUGGUAAAUUCCAUCUAAAGCUAAAUAUUGGCGAGAGACCGAUAGCGAACAAGUACCGUGAGGGAAAGAUGAAAAGAACUUUGGAAAGAGAGUUAAACAGUACGUGAAAUUGUUGAAAGGGAAACGCUUGAAGUCAGUCGCGUUGGCUGGGGAUCAACCUUGCUCUUUUGCUUGGUGUACCUUCCAGUUGACGGGUCAGCAUCAAUUUUGACUGGUGGAUAAAGGUCAGGGGAAUGUGGCAUCUUCGGAUGUGUUAUAGCCCUUGGUCGCAUACAUCAGUUGGGAUUGAGGAACUCAGCACGCCGCAAGGCCGGGUCUUUGACCACGUAACGUGCU
rnacentral:rRNA from 1 species